UUCAAGCUUCUUGUCAGAUUUUCCUACAUUAGAAAGCUUUAUACCUGCAGGAUAAUUCUUAGAAGCUGAGCUUUCGAUUCGAAUGCUGAACGCUGAAUCUGUUGAAAAAGUUUUCAUCUGGUCAUAUCCACAAACACCUGAGAAUGCAUUCCAAUUAAGCUAGCAGUCGAAUCCCUGAUAUUCUUUGCAUACAUUUGGUGCAUGAAUUGGGCCAGAUGCCUGCUCAACGAGUAUGAUCAUAUGCCAUUGGACCUACGUCAGUCGUCGGAUUGGGUGCUACCUAGGUCGAAAUUCCAAAUCUGAGCAUAAGAUAUAGACUUCAUUUCGCCGUUUCAGAUAUGAUUCCAAAUCCAUAAGCUAUUGGAUUUGAUUUUUUUUGUUUAAGCUUAGUAUAGGAAGAAUGGAGGCAGCAAAAAUGGAUUCAACCAGAAAGAAUUGGCCACAUGAUGGCCUGACACCGAUUCAGCCUGAAAAUGCGAAGCAACUCAUGCUCAAAUAGUCGGAAAAUCGAUUGGAGCCGGAGCAUCUUGAAACUCAAAGUGACUUGUGACACAAAACCUAAUCCAAACCUAAUCCGACCUGACCCGACCGAUCAACACCUCAAAUAGAGCUCGGAAUAAAUUUCAUUUCUGAUUUACUUCUGUUAGCCCUAGCUUUUGCUGCCUUGUUCAGGUUCUAACAGGCUUAAUACUGCCAUUACCUCUCAUGCUUGUCAUUAAAUUCAUAGUGGUCCAAAUAUUCAUAUCACAAUAAUUAGUUUUCAGACUCAAAAAACAUGUGCCCACAACUUUCCUCACCAUACAGAGAGGCCAUGAGAAUGAGUCCAAAGCUGCCCUACCUGCAAAACCCAGACUAACUUUUGGCUCUACUCAUGGAACUCUUCUGCUGCAAAGUUGGAAUUGGCCUUUCUCUUGUCCUCCCUCAUGCCCUCACUUCCCUUCCACCUACCCCUCAGUAAACAAACAUACUCCUUUGAAGCUGAGUAUUUAAAGAGCAUCCAGGACAAGAGAGUGUAUGAGACCUAACAAAGUAUCUUUAAGAGAAUCCUCAAGAGAGAGAGAGAGGUAGAGAAUGCAUUGUGAGAAGCAAGUUUGUUUUGUGGUGCACAAAUUAUAUUAUGGGUUUUGCAUGCAUGCAUGUGUGAAGAAUGGUGAGGGUCUGCCUGGCUCCCUGAAUGCCAUCUGAGAAGCUUUGUCAAAUGUGUUGAUGAACUUGUUGGUUGGCAUCUGGGGAGUCAUGCAGGCCUUUUUCUUUCUCCUUCUAUUUUCCUGUUCUUCCUUCUUAGUUUAGGGUCUGUUUGGUUCCCUUUGACCGGAUGGUAUAGGACAAGAGAGCGGUGCUGCGAAAAACAAGAUUUAGCAACUUGGAGGAGUCAGGAGUCGCAACUGGUGGGGGGUUCGUCCGGUGCGAUAUUUUGAAUCCAAUCCCGUUCAAUCUCAGUCUGUCAGGUGGGUUUUGAUAAUCCCAUCUUAAUAUAGUUAUCUGAUCCGAUUAGAUUUGAUAAUCCUAACCAACUGCAACCUCCGAUAUCUGUAAGUCGCUAAACCCUUCGUCUCCUCCAAUAUCUUUCACUCUUCUUAUGCUAUCGAAUCCAAUCGUGGUUGGAAAAUGAGCCACAUCCUUCCAAGAAAACUGACUGCUAAUUUCAUGUACCUUCUUACUUUAGCUUCUCAUUCUUACUUUAGGGGUGUUUGGUUUCUGAAAUAUUUGGAAAAUGAAAAUACUACUUAUCAGUAAAAAUUUCUAAACAAUUUUUUGUAGAAAAAACCAUUUUUUCUAGGAACCAAAUGGACGAAAAAUACUUUUCCAACCAAAACAAAAAGUUUGGGAAACCAAACACCCCCCCAUCUCCUUUGAUCCUUUUCAAGGUAAAACUUUAGUUUUAGAUUCUGAAUUAUUUUCAUUUUUGAGUUGUAUUCAUUUUGGUCAAUUUUUUAUGUUCUUUUCUUUUGCUGAAAAAGAAUAAAAAAAACAGGGUGAAGUGUGCAAAUCUUUUCUCUUUGUACAAAGAUUGUUAAGAAGAAAGAAUUACCCUUCCAAUUUACUAAAGCAAAGGAAAAGAAUUAGACAAGUAAAGAGAGAUUUGGUCUUCCAAUGCACCAUUGAUGCACCAUUGAUCUAAUUGGACUUUUGGUCACUGGGAGUCUUAAUAAGCCACUCUCUUUUGAAGAUGCUUAGACCAACUGUUAAUACAUAUAGGUACAUUUGUUUUAUCUUUGUCUAAUAUCCUGUUCAAAUUUUAUUUUCGGCCGAAAAUACGGUUUGUAUAUGUAUUCUUACCAAAUCCAAUUCGUAUUCGUAUUCUUAUUAUCAUGCUAAAUAUGGUUAUAGAUAUUGUUUUUUUUUUGUUUUGGGACUUAUUUUCCUAGAAAAGAAUUUCAAUUUUAUGUGAAUAUUUUUGUUUCAUUCGUAUCUUAGCCUUCCUACUUUCGUAUAUCCGCAUAUGUUAUUUACAUAUCUAAAUAGUAUCUGAUUUGCAUCUUCUACAUAUUUAGAAGCCAAAAUAGAGUAUCCAUGCAUCAUAUUGGAAGGAGAUAAUAAACUGACAAGUUUUGGCUUCUGCAUUUCUGUGUUCAGAACAGUUGACUGCAAUAUAUUACAAAUCAUCAGAAGAGAGAGAGAGAGAGAGAGAGAGAGAGAGAGAGAGAGAGAGAGAGAGAGAGAGAGAGAGUGUGUUCAAACUUCAAACAAGCAAGUUUUGUGAGGCAAUCAUCAAAGACAAAGGUAUCAACUGUAACUUUUGGUUUAGAGUUCCCUGUUUCUGUCAACUUCACUGCAGUUGGAAGCACUUUUUGGACAUUUUGAUGAACAAGAGAGAGAGAGAGAGAGAGAGAGAGAGAGAGGGUUCGAACAAGUUAAUUUUGUACAAAGCAUUCAUCAAAGACGAAGGAAUCAACUGUGAGGCUCCUAACUUUUGGUUUAGACUUGCCCUGUUUCUGUCAACUGCACUGCAGUUGGAAGCACUUUUUGGACAUUUUAAGAAACAAAACACUGUAAUUGAUUUUGGGAUGCAAAAAGACCUUGUAUCUUAGCCAUUAUGUAAUACCUAAGGGGGUGUUUGGAUUUCCAAGCAAAUAUCCCAGAAAUAAAAAAAAAAAAAAAAAGUGUUUUUUGUUCA